rnacentral:rRNA from 1 species
UACGUAGGGUGCGAGCGUUAAUCGGAAUUACUGGGCGUAAAGCGUGCGCAGGCGGUUCUGAAAGUCAGCUGUGAAAGCCCCGGGCUUAACCUGGGAACUGCGGUUGAAACUACAGGACUAGAAUCUGGCAGAGGGGGGUGGAAUUCCACGUGUAGCAGUGAAAUGCGUAGAGAUGGUGGAGGAACACCGAUGGCGGAAGGCAGCCCCCUGGGCUGAGAUUGACGCUCAGGCACGAAAGCGUGGGGAGCAAACAGG